rnacentral:lncRNA from 1 species
GUUUCCGCUUGGGGUUCCGCGCCUCCUCCCGCCGCCGGUCCAGGUCCAUGCGCUGGUGGGACACGGUGGGCAAAGGGUUAAUGGUGACAUCUGAGGUGGGAUGGAUCUGCUGAGGUGGGAUUGUGGUUUUGGAUGGAUCUGCUGAGGUGGGAUCUCAGAUAUCUGAGGUGGGAUGGAGUGAGGAAACAUCUGAGGUGGGAUGAGGAACAUCUGAAGUGGGAUCAGGGAUAUCUGAGGUGGGAUGGGGUGAGAAACAUCUGAGGUGGGAUGGAUCUACUGAGGUGGGACUGGGGUGAGGAAACACCUGAGGUGGGAUCUGGGAUAUCUAAGGUAGGAUGGGGUGAGGAACACCUGAGGUGGGAUGGAUCUGCUGAGGUGGGAUCAGGGAUAUCUGAGGUGGGAUGGGUGAGGAAACAUCUGAGGUGGGAUUGGGAACAUCUGAAGUGGGAUCGGGGUGAGGGCUGGGAUGAGGAACAUCUGAGGUGGGAUGGAUCUUCUGAGGUGGGAUCUGGGGUAUCUAAGGUAGGAUGGGGUGAGGAACAUCUGAGGUGGGACUGGGGAUAUCUGAGGUGGGUUUGGGACCAUCCAAGGUGGGAUCAGGGGUAUCUGAGGUGGGUUUGGGGAUAUCUGAGGUGGGAUGGGGAGCUCGUCCUCCUCCAUCAGCCGCGGCUUCCGCUUGGGGUUCCGCGCCUUCUCCUCCUCCUGCCCUUCCUCCCUCCUCCUCCUCCUCUCUGGCUUCUCUUCCUCUUCAUCUCUUCCUCCUCUUCUUCAUCUCCUGUUCCUGUUCCUCUGCUCCUCAUCCUCUCCCAUCUCCUCCUCCUCUUCCUCCUCUCCUUCCUCCUCCUCCUCCUCUUCCUCCUCCUCCUCUCCCCCUGCCCUUCCUCCCUCCUCCUCCUCCUCACCAUGAACAGGUCGAACUCCUCCUCGUGCCGGGCGAUCAUCUGGAUCUCUGCUUCCUCCCUCCUCCUCCUCCUCCUCCUGUCCUUCCUCCUCCUCCUCUUCCUCAGACCUUCCUCCCUCCCUCUCCUCUUCCUCCUCAUCUCCGGCUCUUCUUCCUCAGAUCUUCCUCCUCUCCCAUCUCCUCUUUCCCCAUCUCCUCCUCCUCCUCCUCCUCCCGCCCUUCCUCCCUCUCCUCCUCCUCCUCCUCACCUCCUGUUCCUCUUCCUCCUCAUCUCCUCCUGCUCUUCCUCAUCUCCUGCUCUUCUUUCUUGGGGGAUCUUCCUCCUCUCCCUCCUCUUCCUCAUCUCCUCUUCCUGUUCCUCCUCCUCCUCCCUCUGCCCUUCCUCCCCC